GCCGGAGUGGUGGAAUUGGUAGACACGUACGGUUCAGGGCCGUAUGGGGAAACCCAUGAGAGUUCGAGUCUCUCCUCCGGCA
rfam:Candidatus Buchananbacteria bacterium RIFCSPHIGHO2_01_FTLL_39_14 rifcsphigho2_01_scaffold_3978, whole genome shotgun sequence.